UGACGGUACCUGACUAAGAAGCACCGGCUAAAUACGUGCCAGCAGCCGCGGUAAUACGUAUGGUGCAAGCGUUAUCCGGAUUUACUGGGUGUAAAGGGAGCGUAGACGGCAUGGCAAGCCAGAUGUGAAAUGCGGGGGCUCAACCCCUGAACUGCAUUUGGAACUGUCAAGCUAGAGUAUCGGAGAGGUAAGUGGAAUUCCUAGUGUAGCGGUGAAAUGCGUAGAUAUUAGGAGGAACACCAGUGGCGAAGGCGGCUUACUGGACGAUAACUGACGUUGAGGCUCGAAAGCGUGGGGAGCAAACAGGAUUAGAUACCCUG
rnacentral:rRNA from 1 species